CCUGCGACGCCGAAUUGUAGUUUCUAGAAGCAUUUUCUAGGCGGAUCCAGCGCCGUCCAAGUUGCUUGGAACAGCACGUCAUAGAGGGUGACAACCCCGUCUGUGGCGGAGCUGGCCGCUCACGAUGUGCUUUCAAAGAGUCGGGUUGUUUGGGAAUGCAGCCCAAAAUGGGUGGUAAACUCCAUCUAAAGCUAAAUAUUGGCACGAGACCGAUAGCGAACAAGUACCGUGAGGGAAAGAUGAAAAGCACUUUGAAAAGAGAGUUAAAAAGUACGUGAAACCGUUAAAAGGGAAACGGAUGUGGUUAGCAAUGCGUUUUGCGAGAUUCAGCCGGGUGUCGCUUCGGGCGGGCGGUUUGCGGAUCUGAAUAGACCGUGGCCGUUCGGUUCGGAGCUUCAACCGUCGCACUUCUCGCUGGCGCGCGCCAACGUCGGUUGGCUUUGGGUCUUAAGGCACGAGUAAGGUAGGUUCUUUCUUUCGGGACGGAGCUGUUAUAGACUUGUGUCGUAUGGCCCGAGGGCGACCGAGGGGACCGCGGCGCAUGCCUCCUUCGGGUUGGCUAGGGUCCCGCCUCUCCGGUCGGUAGUCAACUGUGGUGGACUGCGUGCAGUGCGCUACGACCGCUGCCGGUCGCUUAGGUGGUGACUCCGUACUAUGCGCCCAGGACGUUGGCGGUCAAAUGGCCCCAUUCGACCCGUCUUGAAACACGGACCAAGGAGUCUAACAUGUGCGCGAGUCUUUGAGUGAAGGAAACUCGCAGGCGAAAUGAAAGUGAAGGCGGCCUAGCCGUCGAGGUGAGAGACCGUCCUCGGGGCGGUUGCAUCAUCGACCGAC
rnacentral:rRNA from 1 species